rnacentral:misc_RNA from 1 species
CCGAAUGGUCUCCGUGCCUUCGAAACCCUCCAAACCUGUGGACGUCUAGAAACGUGCUUCGGCGCCCUGGCGCCGUGUCCAUGCAGUCGAACGGUCUCUUCUGUCUGAACGUACCAUUUAAAGAAUCA